AAACCAUGGUUGAAGCACUUGCGGAGGAGAGCCUUGAAACGUGCAAUGGCUUCAUAGAGGGGUUCAUCAUGUCCUUGCACGAAUUGGAAGAUUUCACUUUUGAGCUU